AGGGAAGAGGAAAGGUGGCCUGCUGCUCUGGGACCCUUCAGCUGUCAGGCUCGCGUUUCCCAAGGUGGACGCUCCUCCCACCCCAGUCUCUCUGCCUGGUGGGACGCUGCUUAACAGAACUGCCCAGGUUCCAAGGGGCAUUGCUCCUCUCCAGCACCUGGGGCUCCCAGCAAGAAGGCCCUCACUAGACGUGGCCCCUGGAGCCUGGACUUCACAAGCUCCAGUAUCRUGAGUCAACUACCAAGAUGUGCAGGAAUUCUAAUGGACCUUCAGGCAAAUUGCCUCUCCCCACUCUCCUGUGGCUCCGGAUAGCACACCCCAAAUCCUCUCAGACCACACAUCCUGGUGUGGAGUUCUCCCGCAGCCCGAUGGGCUGGACAAUAUCUUGGCGGCUUCAGAUGGAUCCAAAGAGCACAACAACUUAAG